rfam:Shimwellia blattae DSM 4481 = NBRC 105725, complete genome.
UGGGGUCUGACUCAAUGAUUCACACUCAACGCCUACUCGGUCUACUACUAAUCGCAUUUUUCGUGCGCGGUAGCCUGGUGGGCGGCGUUGAACCUUGAGCCUUCUGACCAGCCAAAAAACCCGCGCCGUUGCGCGGGUUUUUUU